rnacentral:rRNA from 1 species
UGCAGUCGAACGGUGAAAGAGGAGCUUGCUCCUCUGGAUCAGUGGCGAACGGGUGAGUAACACGUGAGUAACCUGCCCCAGACUCUGGGAUAAGCACUGGAAACGGUGUCUAAUACCGGAUACGAGCUUCAGCCGCAUGGCUAGGAGCUGGAAAGAAUUUCGGUCUGGGAUGGACUCGCGGCCUAUCAGCUAGUUGGUGAGGUAAUGGCUCACCAAGGCGACGACGGGUAGCCGGCCUGAGAGGGUGACCGGCCACACUGGGACUGAGACACGGCCCAGACUCCUACGGGAGGCAGCAGUGGGGAAUAUUGCACAAUGGGCGCAAGCCUGAUGCAGCAACGCCGCGUGAGGGACGACGGCCUUCGGGUUGUAAACCUCUUUUAGUAGGGAAGAAGCGAAAGUGACGGUACCUGCAGAAAAAGCACCGGCUAACUACGUGCCAGCAGCCGCGGUAAUACGUAGGGUGCAAGCGUUAUCCGGAAUUAUUGGGCGUAAAGAGCUCGUAGGCGGUUUGUCGCGUCUGCUGUGAAAACUGGAGGCUCAACCUCCAGCCUGCAGUGGGUACGGGCAGACUAGAGUGCGGUAGGGGAGAUUGGAAUUCCUGGUGUAGCGGUGGAAUGCGCAGAUAUCAGGAGGAACACCGAUGGCGAAGGCAGAUCUCUGGGCCGUAACUGACGCUGAGGAGCGAAAGCAUGGGGAGCGAACAGGAUUAGAUACCCUGGUAGUCCAUGCCGUAAACGUUGGGAACUAGAUGUAGGGACCAUUCCACGGUUUCUGUGUCGCAGCUAACGCAUUAAGUUCCCCGCCUGGGGAGUACGGCCGCAAGGCUAAAACUCAAAGGAAUUGACGGGGGCCCGCACAAGCGGCGGAGCAUGCGGAUUAAUUCGAUGCAACGCGAAGAACCUUACCAAGGCUUGACAUAUACCGGAAAAGUUCAGAAAUGUUCUCCCCGCAAGGUCGGUAUACAGGUGGUGCAUGGUUGUCGUCAGCUCGUGUCGUGAGAUGUUGGGUUAAGUCCCGCAACGAGCGCAACCCUCGUUCUAUGUUGCCAGCACGUA